UACGAAGGGUGCAAGCGUUAAUCGGAAUUACUGGGCGUAAAGCGCGCGUAGGUGGUUCAGUAAGUUGGAAGUGAAAUCCCCGGGCUCAACCUGGGAACCGCUUUCAAAACUGCUGAGCUAGAGUACGGUAGAGGGUGGUGGAAUUUCCUGUGUAGCGGUGAAAUGCGUAGAUAUAGGAAGGAACACCAGUGGCGAAGGCGACCACCUGGACUGAUACUGACACUGAGGUGCGAAAGCGUGGGGAGCAAACAGG
rnacentral:rRNA from 1 species